UAGAAACACUUUGAUUGAAAAUUAAGUGUUCUUGAAACUACAACCCGACGAAGGGGCAUCAAAACAUAACAACUCCCAUAAUGGUUGGGGGGGACGGGUUAGCCAAGAUGAAAAAAGGGAAUUUGUACGUUGCGCUUUGGCGACCCAAUCGGCAGCUUGAUUCGCGGAUCUAUUGCAAUGGGCCACAGUUAGGUUUGUGUAUUGGGCCAUUCGGAUAUACGCUUCUCUAAUGAAAGCUUCCUCUUCCCAGCCGACUUCUCUCUGGUCCUACAGCUUCUUUACUAUUUCAAGACAAUCAGUUUCUAUCACAAUUCCAUCUUUUCUCCUGUCGACGAAGUAGUCUAGAGCAUGCAGCAAAGCUUGCAGUUCUAUGUGCAACGGCGAGGUCGCGGGUACUGUCCUGGCGAAGCCUUCUAGCAAGGUACCAACUUCGUUUCUGAGGAUUCCAGAAACUGCGCCUUUUGCUACAUCUCCAAGGAAGGAUCCAUCUAUGUUGAUUUUGAAGGAGUUUCUCAUCGGUGGUUUCCAACACAGAGAUGGCUUCGGUCCAGGGGCAGAGAAGAAAUAGAUGCUCUACCAUUUCAGUUUCCUUAUCAUAGAAGGGGCAUGCUGGUCGAGGUAAGAUUUUCCUCCUAUAGAGGUUUUCUGCUGUGGGGAGAGCAUUUUGGCAUACACUCCAUAGAAAUAUUCUAACCUUGGAUGGGAUUUUUAAAUUCUAGAUUAUGCACCAUAGCUUGCGGGAUGGCUUGAAAAA